AACGAACGCUGGCGGCAGGCUUAACACAUGCAAGUCGAGCGCCCCGCAAGGGGAGCGGCAGACGGGUGAGUAACGCGUGGGAAUCUACCCAUCUCUACGGAAUAACGCUUGGAAACGUGUGCUAAUACCGUAUACGCCCUUAGGGGGAAAGAUUUAUCGGAGAUGGAUGAGCCCGCGUUGGAUUAGCUAGUUGGUGGGGU
rnacentral:rRNA from 1 species